rnacentral:rRNA from 1 species
GACGAACGCUGGCGGCGUGCUUAACACAUGCAAGUCGAACGGAAAGGCCCUGCUUUUGUGGGGUGCUCGAGUGGCGAACGGGUGAGUAACACGUGAGUAACCUGCCCUUGACUUUGGGAUAACUUCAGGAAACUGGGGCUAAUACCGGAUAGGAGCUCCUGCUGCAUGGUGGGGGUUGGAAAGUUUCGGCGGUUGGGGAUGGACUCGCGGGUUAUCAGCUUGUUGGUGGGGUAGUGGCUUACAAAGGCUUUGACGGGUAGCCGGCCUGAGAGGGUGACCGGCCACAUUGGGACUGAGAUACGGCCCAGACUGCUACGGGAGGCAGCAGUGGGGAAUAUUGCACAAUGGGCGGAAGCCUGAUGCAGCAACGCCGCGUGCGGGAUGACGGCCUUCGGGUUGUAAACCGCUUUCGCCUGUGACGAAGCGUGAGUGACGGUAAUGGGUAAAGAAGCACCGGCUAACUACGUG